AGAGUUUGAUCCUGGCUCAGGAUGAACGCUAGCUACAGGCUUAACACAUGCAAGUCGAGGGGCAGCAUGAACUUAGCUUGCUAAGUUUGAUGGCGACCGGCGCACGGGUGAGUAACGCGUAUCCAACCUGCCCUUUACUCGGGGAUAGCCUUCUGAAAGGAAGUUUAAUACCCGAUGAAUUCGUUUAGUCGCAUGGCUUGAUGAAUAAAGAUUAAUUGGUAAAGGAUGGGGAUGCGUCCCAUUAGCUUGUUGGCGGGGUAACGGCCCACCAAGGCGACGAUGGGUAGGGGUUCUGAGAGGAAGGUCCCCCACAUUGGAACUGAGACACGGUCCAAACUCCUACGGGAGGCAGCAGUGAGGAAUAUUGGUCAAUGGGCGCGAGCCUGAACCAGCCAAGUAGCGUGGAGGACGACGGCCCUACGGGUUGUAAACUCCUUUUAUAAGGGGAUAAAGUUGGCCAUGUAUGGCCAUUUGCAGGUACCUUAUGAAUAAGCAUCGGCUAAUUCCGUGCCAGCAGCCGCGGUAAUACGGAAGAUGCGAGCGUUAUCCGGAUUUAUUGGGUUUAAAGGGAGCGUAGGCGGGCAGUCAAGUCAGCGGUCAAAUGGCGCGGCUCAACCGCGUUCCGCCGUUGAAACUGGCAGCCUUGAGUAUGCACAGGGUACAUGGAAUUCGUGGUGUAGCGGUGAAAUGCUUAGAUAUCACGAGGAACUCCGAUCGCGCAGGCAUUGUACCGGGGCAUUACUGACGCUGAGGCUCGAAGGUGCGGGUAUCAAACAGGAUUAGAUACCCUGGUAGUCCGCACAGUAAACGAUGAAUGCCCGCUGUCGGCGAGAUACAGUCGGCGGCCAAGCGAAAGCGUUAAGCAUUCCACCUGGGGAGUACGCCGGCAACGGUGAAACUCAAAGGAAUUGACGGGGGC
rnacentral:rRNA from 1 species